rnacentral:snRNA from 1 species
AGCUUUGCACAGUGGCGAGUAUCACAGCCAGUGAGGUUUAUCUGAGGCACAACUAUUGCUAAUUGAAAACUUUUUCCAAUACCCUACCACGAUGACUUGCAACAUAGUCAGCAUUGACAAUUUUUGACAGUCUCUAUGGAGA